UGGGGAAUAUUGCACAAUGGGCGAAAGCCUGAUGCAGCAACGCCGCGUGAGUGAUGAAGGUCUUCGGAUUUGUAAAGCUCUGUCUUUUGGGACGAUAAUGACGGUACCAAAGGAGGAAGCCACGGCUAACUACGUGCCAGCAGCCGCGGUAAUACGUAGGUGGCGAGCGUUGUCCGGAUUUACUGGGCGUAAAGGGUGCGUAGGCGGAUGUUUAAGUGAGAUGUGAAAUACCCGGGCUUAACUUGGGUGCUGCAUUUCAAACUGGAUAUCUAGAGUGCAGGAGAGGAGAAUGGAAUUCCUAGUGUAGCGGUGAAAUGCGUAGAGAUUAGGAAGAACACCAGUGGCGAAGGCGAUUCUCUGGACUGUAACUGACGCUGAGGCACGAAAGCGUGGGUAGCAA
rnacentral:rRNA from 1 species